GGGCGUAAGCGCGCGCAGGCGGUCCUUUAAGUCUGAUGUGAAAGCCCACGGCUUAACCGUGGAGGGUCAUUGGAAACUGAGGGACUUGAGUACAGAAGAGGAGAGUGGAAUUCCACGUGUAGCGGUGAAAUGCGUAGAGAUGUGGAGGAACACCAGUGGCGAAGGCGACUCUCUGGUCUGUAACUGACGCUGAGGUGCGAAAGCGUGGGUAGCGAACAGGAUUAGAUACCCUGGUAGUCCACGCCGUAAACGAUGAGUGCUAGGUGUCAGGGGGUUUCCGCCCCUUGGUGCUGGAGUUAACGCAUUAAGCACUCCGCCUGGGGAGUACGGCCGCAAGGCUGAAACUCAAAAGAAUUGACGGGGGCCCGCACAAGCGGUGGAGCAUGUGGUUUAAUUCGAAGCAACGCGAAGAACCUUACCAGGUCUUGACAUCCUCUGCUAUCGGUAGAGAUACCGAGUUCCCUUCGGGGACAGAGUGACAGGUGGUGCAUGGUUGUCGUCAGCUCGUGUCGUGAGAUGUUGGGUUAAGUCCCGUAACGAGCGCAACCCUUGAUCUUAGUUGCCAGCAUUAAGUUGGGCACUUUAAGGUGACUGCCGGUGACAAACCGGAGGAAGGUGGGGAUGACGUCAAAUCAUCAUGCCCCUUAUGACCUGGGCUACACACGUGCUACAAUGGAUGGAACAGAGGGCAGCGAAACCGCAAGGUGGAGCGAAUCCCACAAAACCAUUCUCAGUUCGGAUUGUAGGCUGCAAUUCGCCUACAUGAAGCAGGAAUCGCUAGUAAUCGCGGAUCAGAAUGCCGCGGUGAAUACGUUCCCGGGCCUUGUACACACCGCCCGUCACACCACGAGAGUUAGCAACACCCGAAGUCGGUGA
rnacentral:rRNA from 2 species